rnacentral:rRNA from 1 species
UCUCCUACGGGAGGCAGCAGUGGGGGAUAUUGCGCAAUGGGGGGAACCCUGACGCAGCAACGCCGCGUGAAGGAAGAAGGUUUUCGGAUUGUAAACUUCUUUUAUUAAGGACGAAGAAUGACGGUACUUAAUGAAUAAGCUCCGGCUAACUACGUGCCAGCCGCCGCGG